GGUUUGCAACUACGUGUCCCAGACUGCAUCCCUGCUGAGAGUCCCUCCCUCCCUUCUCAUGUUGCAGGAAGAACGUAAGCGCCCGCCCCUUGUCAAUCAGUCACCAUAUAAUUUUGGAUUGGUUGUUGUGGUGAAGUUUUCCACCAAUAGGAGAGAUGGUGUGGUGUUUUUUUUUUCUUUUGGCAAGCCUUUUCCGCCUGUAAGAGCUGUCGCUAAUGUCUGCAUGCUAUGUUUUCCUGUCUCAUACAGCGCGAUCGAGCGCCGAACAUGAUCAAAAUAAGCAGAAAAAAAGUAUCGCGGACAUAAUUUAUCAUAACUCUGGUUUUAUUUGGCCUAUCAACACAAUUUAAAAACUGGUAUAUAGGUUGAGGUCCUCACUUUUGAGAGAAGUUGAAACGGAGAGUCAACGAGGCUCCGUCUUGCAGCUACAUCCGGUUAAAUAUGUCAUGUGACUUGAACGCACACACAGACACACACACACGCACACACACACACACACACACACACACACACACACACACACACUCAGAGUCUGGUUUUUAGCACCUGCAAAAACAUGCUAUUUACAUAUUUGACAAGAAUGCAGAGGCUCCUUUUGCCCCUGAAAAAAAUCAAAUUUCAAACACAACUUGACUGGUCAUUUCUCCAAAAGACAACCAUGAAGCUCCAUCCAAACCUGAAGCAGGCAGUUGGUGCAUGUGUACAGUAACCUGAGGGGAGUGAGGUGAGUGCUUCUGAGGAGAACAUGAGCAGUGAAGAUUCACCUUGGAGCUAGAACAGAGACAUGCACAUGAUUAUACAGGGGCAGGGGCUCAAAUUUUUUCCAGUCGUUUAUACAAUAUGGAAAUUAAUGUGAAAUUAAAACACAAAGUAUUAAUAGAAAGGUAAUGACUGUCCUGUGUAGGUGACAGUGAUAUCCAAUAGGCUAGGCACUCACGAGGCUGGCUGUGGCAAGUGUAAGUGAAAGCAACACGCACUGGCAGGAAGAACAGCAAACGCCGAUGAAGGAAAAGGGUCUUUGCAGUGAUGGGCGUUACCAGAGAGGGCGAUGGCCAGAGGACACAAAUGGGACGGGGAGGCAGCACGUUGGGGGGGGGGACGCGACACGGCUCGGGCCCGCCAGUGCCCCAACGGGGUCCUAGUUAUUAUUUUUCCUCCCCUUUGAACUGGAAAAUGGCCCACUUCCCACUGGCGAAAACUCAUGAAAUUUGGCAGGACGACCGGGCCUGGUGAAAAAUUUGAUAUUCCGAAGUCGCCCAAACAAGAAAAUGCAAAAUGGCUCCAUAGCGCCCCCUAAGGUGAAAAUUCACACUAUUGACUGUCACGCCUGUACGCUUUGUCAAAAUGACACAAAAAUUGACACACACAUGUAUCUCAAUAAGAUCUACAAAAAAGUCAGUGCGGGCGUAUCUGUCAAAUGUACGGUUAAAGGGUUAUUUCGCAUUUUUUGCCGAUCCGCACACAUUGGAAUUUCGCUAACUCCUCCGAAGGCUUUCGUUCCACCGGCACCACAUUUGCUCAGGCCAAUCUACACCCCAUGGCCAUUAAAAGUUAUUCAAAUCAUGACGCUGCACCCCACGGUUUAGGUUCUAGGGGGCGCCAAAGAUAACCCUAAGAUCCACAUAUUUAAAAGUCUUAUAACUUUUUAUUUUUGCCCUCACUGGCCUCCAAGUUUUCUAGGAUGAUGCAAUGUCCAGCCAUCAACACAUUUGUGAAGGAAUUUUUACUCCCCAAAAGAGCGCCCCCCCAUGGCAGGAGAAAAAAGUCAAUUUUUUCUUGUCCCCUAAGGUGAAAAUACACAUUGUUGAGUGUAACACCUGUACGCUUUGGCAAAAUGACACAAAAAUUGACACACACAUGUAUCUCAAUAAGAUCUACGAAAAAGUCAAUGCGGGCGUAUCUGUUAAAUGUACGGUUAAAGGGUUAUUCUGCAUUUUUUGCCGAUCCGCACACAUUGGAAUUUCGCUAACUCCUCCGAAGGCUUUCGUUCCACCGGCUCCACAUUUGCUCAGGCCAAUCUACACCCCAUGGCCAUUAAAAGUUAUUCAAAUCAUGACGCUGCACCCCACGGUUUAGGUUCUAGGGGGCGCCAAAUAUAACCCUAAAAUCCACAUAUUUAAAAGUCUUAUAACUUUUUAUUUUUGUCCCCACUGGCCUCCAAGUUUUCUAGGAUGAUGCAAUGUCCAGCCAUCGACACAUUUGUGAAGGAAUUUUUACUCGCCAAAAGAGCGCCCCCCAUGGCAGGAGAAAAAAGUCCAUUUUUUCUUGUCCACUAAGGUGAAAAUACACAUUGUUGAGUGCUACGCCUGUAUGUUUUGUCGUAUUGACACAAAAUUUUACAUACACAUGUAUUUCAAUAAGAUCUUCGAAAAAGUCAAGGGCCAGGUAUCUGUAAAAUGUACGGUUAAAGGGUUAUUUUGCAUUUUUUGCAGAUUCGCACACAUUGGAAUUUCGCUAACUCCUCAGAAGGCUUUCGUUCCACCGGCACCACAUUUGCUCAGGCCAAUCUACACCCCAUGGCCAUUAAAAGUUAUUCAAAUCAUGACGCUGCACCCCACGGUUUAGGUUCUAGGGGGCGCCAAAGAUAACCCUAAAAUCCACAUAUUUAAAAGUCUUAUAACUUUUUAUUUUUGUCCUCACUGGCCUCCAUGUUUUCUAGGAUGAUGCAAUGUCCAGCCAUCAACACAUUUGUGAAGGAGUUUUUUCUCGUUAAAAGAGCGCCCCCCCAUGGCAGGAGAAUAAAGUCAAGUUUUUCCUGUUCAUCAUUCAAUGGCUCAAACGCACUGCUCUCUCGGCAAAAGCGAAAGGAGGAGCAACUUGCCAUUUGGAUAUAUCUUAGCUGUGUUUGUGCCCUCACUCAUGGUCCAGACUUUUUUCAAAUAGGACAUGGAGUUUUUCUGCAGCGAGCGCUUUGGUAGAAACUGCGCCUCCCGUUCAUUAUAAUGGUAAAUGACCACAAACAAGUGCGCACACCAUCUUUGGACCUUGAGUGUGACGCGAUCGGGUGGGGGAGGCGGUCGCGCUGGGGGCGGCGUGACACGGCUCGGGCCUGCCAGUGCCCCAACGGGGCCCUAGUUAGGGCCCGAGCGUAGCUGCUAAGCAGCUGCGAGAGCCCUAUUAUUCCCCAAGUGGUUUUUCUUUGUUUCUUUCUUUCUUUCUUUCUUCUUUUUCCUCCCCUUUGAACUGGAAAAUGGCCCACUUCCCACUGGCGAAAACUCAUGAAAUUUGGCAGGACGACCGGGCCUGGUGAAAAAUUCGAUAUUCUGAAGUCGCCCAAACAAUAAAAUGCAAAAUGGCUCCAUAGCGCCCCCUAAGGUGGAAAUUCACACUAUUGACUGUCACGCCUGUACGCUUUGUCAUAUUGACACAAAAAUUGACACACAUAUGUAUCUCAAUAAGAUCUACAAAAAAGUCAGUGCGGGCGUAUCUGUCAAAUGUACGGUUAAAGGGUUAUUUCGCAUUUUUUGCCGAUCCGCACACAUUGGAAUUUCGCUAACUCCUCCGAAGGCUUUCGUUCCACCGGCACCACAUUUGCUCAGGCCAAUCUACACCCCGUGGCCAUUAAAAGUUAUCAAAAUCAUGACGCUGCACCCCAAGGUUUAGGUUCUAGGGGGCGCCAAAGAUAACACUAAAAUCCACAUAUUUAAAAGUCUUAUAACUUUUUAUUUUUGUCCUCACUGGCCUCCAAGUUUUCUAGGAUGAUGCAAUGUCCAGCCAUCAACACAUUUGUGAAGGAAUUUUUACUCCCCAAAAGAGCGCCCCCCCAUGGCAGGAGAAAAAAGUCCAUUUUUUCUUGUCCCCUAAGGUGAAAAUACACAUUGUUGAGUGUCACGCCUAUACGCUUUGUCAAAAUGACACAAAAAUUGACACACACAUGUAACUCAAUAAGAUCUACAAAAAAGUCAAUGCGCGCGUAUCUGUCAAAUGUACGGUUAAAGGGUUAUUCCGCAUUUUUUGCCGAUCCGCACACAUUGGAAUGUGGCUAACUCCUCCUAAGGCUUUCGUUCCACCGGCACCACAUUUGCUCAGGCCAAUCUACACCCCAUGGCCAUUAAAAGUUAUUCAAAUCAUGACGCUGCACCCCACGGUUUAGGUUCUAGGGGGCGCCAAAGACAACCCUAAAAUCCACAUAUUUAAAAGUCUUAUAACUUUUUAUUUUUGUCCUCACUGGCCUCCAAGUUUUCUAGGAUGAUGCAAUGUCCAGCCAUCAACACAUUUGUGAAGGAAUUUUUACUCCCAAAAAGAGCGCCCCCCAUGGCAGGAGAAAAAAGUUAAUUUUUUCUUGUCCCAUAAGGUGAAAAUUCACAUUGUUGAGUGUGACACCUGUACGCUUUGUCAUAUUGACACAAAAUUUGACAAUCACGUGUAUCUCAAUAAGAUCUACGAAAAAGUCAAUGCACGCGUAUCUGUCAAAUGCACGGUUAGAGGGCUAUUUUGCAUUUUUUGCCGAUUCGCACACAUUGGAAUGUGGCUAACUCCUCCUAAGGCUUUCGUCCCACUGAAACCAAAUUUGCUCAGGCCAAUCUACACCCCAUGGCCAUUCAAAGUUGUAAAAAUCAUGACGCUGCACCCCACGGUUUACGUUCUAGGGGGCGCCAAAGAUGACCCAAAAAUCCACAUUCUUAAAAGAAUCCACAUUCCCCCCCCAUGGCACGAGAGAAAGUCAAGUUUUUCCUGCCCAUCGCUCAA
rnacentral:lncRNA from 1 species